AAGUCUGUUUGUUUGUCAGCACAAAGUGGAAUUGCUCCCUGCGGCCUGGCAAUUCAAAGAGAGGGCCUCAGAACCGAGAGGCGAGGGAUCAUUGUGCCAAGCUAGUUAGAGGAAUGUAAACGUUUGCAGUCCUGACUGCCAGCAGCACGGCUGGAAGGUCUGGGGGCAUCCAGUAAACGGACAGAGCAGGGGAGAGAGCAACCAUUUCAGCUUCCAAAUGGCCCGUUGCAAGGGGAGCUUGUUUUCUCCAAAACCAGCCGCGAGGCGCGGGCCUCAACUCUAACCUUUGUCGGAAAGCAGAAAAAAGAAAAGAAAAUCAGAACAUUAUAUUUAAAGUGGAAAUGAAUGAAGACUUAAACUUGUUUGAAUUAAGCCUGGUGUGGAUUAUCAAUUGAUGAGGAAAAAGUAAGGUAAAUCAUUUUUAAUGAGAGGCAAACUACCAUUAUAUU
rnacentral:lncRNA from 1 species